AUAUCUACUUGCUAAACUGAAUUAAAUAAUGGCAAUGAAGACUAUGAAUCUACUUUCUGCACUAGAUGGAAAAUUGAUCCCCACUGGAUGCUCCUGGACUGGUCUGGUUGGUGCUGGAUGGGCUGAAUUCCGUAACUGACUCCUGGUUACGGCUGGAUUCCCUCUGAAAUGGGAUGCUCCGUGUGUCCGUCGCUGCUUUGUCCUGACUGAUGGGACGCAAUGAAUAUCAGCUCUGGAACUUGCACGUAGCUGGAUGUGCCCUGCGCCAACCUGGAUGACCCACGGCUUCACUGGAGAAGGUCCGUUGAAUAGAUGGAGCUCGACUCGAUGCCACAAUCUUGCCUUCUCGCAAUUCAGAGGCUUCGUAAGGACCAUGUAAAAUCUUCGCUGGUCUCAGGUGUUGUAAAGGUGGUGAAAUAAUAAGUGGACUGUAGUAUAACGCUGGUUUACUUUCAAAAUUACAAAAAUACAAAAGUAGCAAAGUGGAUUGUCGUUGGGAUUCAAGAGAUGACAAAGUAAGUUUUUGAAAGCUCUAUAACUGUCAAAGCUUUGAAUAUAAAAUUGCCAUAGUAAAAUUUGAAACAUAGAGAUUUGAAUGAUGAUUGAAUUUGUACGUUUAAUUGCAUAUUUUAAUUAAAAAAUAGACAAUUUGAAUAAUAUUAAUUGUAAGAACAUAUUAAUUGAUACAUAAAAUUAAAUUAUAUUAAAAACUGUGAA